UACCCAUGGUGAUGACACAUACUCAACAACUCCUUAAACUUCUCCCAAGCCUGAUACAAAGUUUCGCUACCCUUUUGUGCAAAUAUGGAGAUCUGUCUAUUCAAAGCA